UACGUAGGGGGCGAGCGUUACCCGGAUUUACUGGGCGUAAAGGGGGCGUAGGCGGCCGUGAAAGUCCGGUGUGAAAACUCACGGCUCAACCGUGGGACUGCGCUGGAAACUACACGGCUUGAGGACGGUAGAGGGAGACGGAACUGCUGGUGUAGGGGUGAAAUCCGUAGAUAUCAGCAGGAACGCCGGUGGAGAAGUCGGUCUCCUGGGCCGUUCCUGACGCUGAGGCGCGAAAGCUAGGGGAGCAAACCGG
rnacentral:rRNA from 1 species